UCUUGCAGGUAGUUUAAUGAAGGGGUUACAGCACCGACCUUUACAUGUGUGAGAAGCCCACCUUAAGUCUAUGGAAUUCCAGAAGGUGAUAAUCUCACCUGUGAGGAAAAUGUGGAGGAGUGAGAACUUAAAACAGAAUUUUCUAAAUUCGCAUUCUGUUAAUGUCAAGUGACCUCAACCCCUCCAAUCCUGACUGGAAGCCUAACAGGUAUGAUAUUCAGAGCACAAAAGAUUUCCCCUGCUCUACUGUUGAAUACAAAGUUAUCAGGAGCAAAUGAAGAAACAAGCCUUGUAACACAAUAUAUUUCCCCCCCUUGUUAGAGUACCUCUUUCCUUCCGAUCAUCUAUCAUUUCCAACCACAGUCAAAUUUCUUUAAAUUUUCUCUGCAGUACAUGGACAUAAUUCUUUUAUUCAGUUAACAGGCCGUUCACUCAGGGAGGAUGAAGUGUUAUUUUAUGAUUCAGUGUAUUCAAUAAUGUCAAAGUUUUCUAGCACAGAGUCCUUAUUCUAAAUGUAUUUCUUUUCUUGAAAAAUCAGUUUAGUGAACAGCUUCCACAAGAGACUUGUGUAGGACAACAGCAGCUGCUUCUAGGUUUUUCAUUUAACUUCAUAUUGUACAACCUUUGCAGAAAAAUAUCCCAGGUAUGUUCUUCAUCCAUUAUUUUUUUAAUAAUGUCUUUCUCUUCUGACUUCGCACUUUUCCUUGACUCAAGGGGCAGGAGGAUAGGCCAGGCUUGGCUUUAGCUUCUGACAGUGAGCUGGAGGGUGAACAACCCCUGCUGUUUUCUCAGGUGAUGCUUUCCUCCAGCGGGUGAUGGGUUACUUGUUGCACAUUGAAGAGGACUCCUGGAUAAAAUGGACUGAAGUUCUAUUUGCAUGUGUGCCAAACAGCUUGAGGAAAGUGCUCUCCAAGGUUUCCUGCUGUGAGCAGUAGAUUCAGCAUCUUGACUGGCUUCUGCAUUUGGAUGAUUCUGUUACAGGAAGGCUUUUCUCCUGGCAGACUUUGAACAAACAGUUUCAGUUUCAAGUUCCUGUAUCAGCCU
rnacentral:lncRNA from 1 species